CCUACGGGAGGCAGCAGUGAGGAAUAUUGGUCAAUGGCCGGAAGGCUGAACCAGCCAUGCCGCGUGAAGGUCAGUGCCCUUUGGGCGUUAAACUUCUUUUGUGCGGGAGCAAUAAUGGUCACGUGUGGCCAGACGAGAGUACCGUACGAAUAAGCAUCGGCUAACUCCGUGCCAGCAGCCGCGGUAAUACGGGGGGUGCAAGCGUUAUCCGGAUUUAUUGGGUUUAAAGGGUGCGUAGGCUGGGAGGUAAGUCAGCGGGGAAAUGCCCCCGCUCAACGGGGUGAAGUGCCAUUGAUACUGGCUUGCUGGAAUGCGGAUGCCGUGAGAGGAAUGUGUGGUGUAGCGGUGAAAUGCAUAGAUAUCACACAGAACACCGAUUGCGAAGGCAUCUCACGAAUCCGCGAUUGACGCUGAUGCACGAAAGCGUGGGUAUCAAACAGGAUUAGAUACCCUGGUAGUC
rnacentral:rRNA from 1 species